AGUUAUGGUACCACAAGGAUCAACGGCAAAUUCAGCAUUACUGUUAAAGGAUUUGAAUAUGCCAAAUAUGGAGCAAAGGCUUGCAAGGCUAAACUACACAAUGCUCCAAAGGAUUCUAAUUGUGACAUUCCUACAAACCUUUACUGGGGAGUAAAGGGCGCUAACCUAAAAGUGAAGUCAAAGAACCAUUAUGAAGUUGUACUUUAUGCAAAACCAUUUGCUUAUGGCUCUAAGACACCUUAUGCAAAAUGCACAAAACCUCUGCCUACGCCUGCUCCAUACUACUACAAAUCUCCUCCACCUCCAUCGCCGAUUUAUAUUUACAAGUCACCACCUCCAACAACCCCGACAUAUGUUUACAAAUCUCCACCGCCACCAACUAAGUCUUCACCAUCUCCUUAUUACUACAAGUCUCCACCUCCACCAUCACCAAAACCUGCUCCUGUAUACUAUUAUAAAUCACCACCACCUCCAUCAACAUUGCCUCCACCUAC
rnacentral:lncRNA from 1 species